rnacentral:rRNA from 1 species
AGUGAACGCUGGCGGUAGGCCUAACACAUGCAAGUCGAACGGCAGCACAGUAAGAGCUUGCUCUUACGGGUGGCGAGUGGCGGACGGGUGAGGAAUACAUCGGAAUCUACUUUUUCGUGGGGGAUAACGUAGGGAAACUUACGCUAAUACCGCAUACGACCUACGGGUGAAAGCAGGGGAUCUUCGGACCUUGCGCGAUUGAAUGAGCCGAUGUCGGAUUAGCUAGUUGGCGGGGUAAAGGCCCACCAAGGCGCCGAUCCGUAGCUGGUCUGAGAGGAUGGUCGGCCGCACUGGAGCUGGGACGCGGACAAGACUCCUACGGGAGGCAGCAGUCGGGAAUAGUGGACAAUGGGCGCAAGCCUGAUCCAGCCAGACCGAGUGGGAGAAAAAGGCCUUCGGGUUGUAAAGCCGUUUUGUUGGGAAAGAAAAGCAGCAGGUUAAUACCCCGCUGCUGUGACGGUACCCAAAAAAUAAGCACCGGCUAACUUCGUG